rnacentral:rRNA from 1 species
GAUGAACGCUGGCGGCGUGCCUAAUACAUGCAAGUCGAGCGAACAGACGAGGAGCUUGCUCCUUUGACGUUAGCGGCGGACGGGUGAGUAACACGUGGGUAACCUACCUAUAAGACUGGGAUACUUCGGGAAACCGGAGCUAAUACCGGAUAAUAUUUCGAACCGCAUGGUUCGAUAGUGAAAGAUGGCUCUGCUAUCACUUAUAGAUGGACCUGCGCCGUAUUAGCUAGUUGGUAAGGUAACGGCUUACCAAGGCAACGAUACGUAGCCGACCUGAGAGGGUGAUCGGCCACACUGGAACUGAGACACGGUCCAGACUCCUACGGGAGGCAGCAGUAGGGAAUCUUCCGCAAUGGGCGAAAGCCUGACGGAGCAACGCCGCGUGAGUGAUGAAGGUCUUCGGAUCGUAAAACUCUGUUAUUAGGGAAGAACAAACGUGUAAGUAACUGUGCACGUCUUGACGGUACCUAAUCAGAAAGCCACGGCUAACUACGUG